CGGACAAAAAAGGCCGCUCCCUCCUCUGUAAAGGUGGCGUGAACAAUUUCCCCCCCUCUCUCUCUCUCUCUCUCCGUUCUUUUAGCAGCUGCCGCCGUUGCUUGCCGCUGCCCAGCCGGGCCUCCGGCUCCACGGAUCAGGCAGGGGACCAGACCAGCUUUGCACUGUGGUGCUAGACCUGUAGUAGUAGCUGGGCUAGCGCGGCGGCGGUAAUAAAGACCGGCUGCCACGCUCGCGAGUUGGCAGGGCCGGCGGACCGCGGAGGAGAUCCGUCGGCCGGACUGGCCUGUCAUUGUCAAUUUGUCAUGGCAAGGCGGCACCAAGAGGCUGUGGCCUUCCUUGCAUGCCGGAAGAAAGAAGCUGGGCCUGACGUGCGCCGUAACCGGAAAGGAUCAAAGGAUUGGGGGGCACCGAUCGAUCACUGUAGGGCAGCUCUGUAUCGUUAUCCAGACCAGGCCUACGGACGGGCUACAGUGUGAGCCGAGGGCGUCGCCGGGGGACCAGCCGCACAUGCACGUAGAGGUAGAGGUAGAGGUAGAGAUAGAGGUAGAGCCAUGGCAUGGAGAUGGAGGCAACCCAGAUUACUGCACGGAACAGGGAGCCAAGACACGACACGCAUGGUUUCUUUCUUCUUGAUUAGUAGUAGUACAAAGUCUGGACCACCGGCCACCGCUCACUAGGCUACACUACACCACACAGCUCCCUUUAAAUGGCCGGAAGCCUCCUUGCCGUUUUCGCCCCGCGUCGCCUCUCUGUCUGCGUCUGCGUCUGCAUCUGCUGCCGACGGGUGUGCCGGUCCUUGCACCAGAGCACCACAUCGGCGUUACACUUGUUCUCAAUGCUGGGUUGGUUUAGCUACUGGGAUCACAAAAAUGGACCAUGGCAAUCUGAAUUUACGCUCAAGGAAAAACCCAUACUAGCUCUUCAGGAAACGCGACGGGAAAGAGUAAACCCAAGCAUGUGGGCAGGGCUUUGGAUUUUGGUCCGAGAACAGCGAACCAGAUCACCGGUAACAGUGUACACAAACAAAACAAACGGGCCGCCAAUUUAUCAUCAUUUCUUAAUUUAUACUUACCUACUACUAUCUUCGUUUUUAAAUAUUACUCCCUCCGUCCGGAAAUAUUUGUCCUAGAAAUGUAUAAAAUGGAUGUAUCUAUAACUAAGAUAAGUCUAAAUACAUCUACUUCUAGGACAAGUAUUUUUGGAUGGAGGGAGUAUAAUAAAAGCAUCUCCAACAGCCGUGCUAAACAAGCGCCGCGUCAAAAAUUAGGCCAUUUUAGCGCGCGCACAACCUGACGGGUGGCUCCAGCGGAUGCGCAAUAACCGCACGCGCGCUAUAAGGAGUUGGGUGCGCGGUCGGAUUCGUUAUCUCGCGCGAUGUAUUUGGGGCGCCCGCUUCCGCGCGCGUCACACUCGAGCGCUGGCGCCACACUCUCUCCUCUCCGCCUCCUACGCCCCGCGCCGGCGCCGGCGAACUGCACCCAUGGAAGCACGCGCCGGCACCCCGCUCACCCCACUGUACAGUCGCGACCCCUCCCCCGCCGGCACCCAUGAACUUGGUUGGAUGAACUUGUAGGCAUGAACUUUUAUUCAUCAACUUGUUUGUGUCAAAUUGCACAUGUUCAUUGCAUUUUGAUGAAUGUUUCAAACUCAUUUUGUGUCUAAAAUACCAUAUAUGUGAAAUGUCCGGCGAGUCACGUGUGCUGCAUUUUUUGCGCGCUGCUGGAGUGGCGCGCGCUGUAUUUUAGCGCGGCUGUUGGAGCCGGCGCUGGCGGCCGCGCUAAACCAGCCGAAGCGCGGCUGUUGGAGAUGCUCUAAAGACUGCAUACAAUGUAAAAUGUAUGAAUCUAUACUCUAAAACAUGUCUAUAUACAUCCGUAUGUAGUCUAUAAUGAAACUUCUAAAAAAAUAUAUAUUUAAAAACGGGGGAGUACUAGGCAAAGGGUCCAAGACGGACUCCGUUUCUCUUCUCUCCCGCGGAGCCAUGCACGGACAGCGGUAGCGACAUGAGCGCCACACAUUCUCCUACAUCUCGGACAAGGCGAAGAAAUCCACCCCCAAUGAUCAGGUCGAUCAUCUCGCCGAGCUGCACUGUGCGUCCAUCCUGAUUGGGGUUCAGUUUGAGUGUUUGACCGUAGCUUAGCUCGUGCCCGGCGAUGAUGGAAAUGGGGGGUGACAGACAGGGGAAGCACCAUGUGCCCAUGAUUGUGCUUGUCCAUGCCGGAGAGCUCCUCUGAUCCCAGCACGCGCACGGGGAUCGUGUGCGUCUGCAUUUCAGAUACACGCACACGGUUUGUGCUAUAGCUAGCGUCCCAAGGACUCUGAAUUCUGAUCGACGCGUGUGCUAUUAUCAAUAGAAGUACUGUGCGGUUAGUCGUACACUGGCACGGUAGAUUGUACGUACGUACUACAACACGGGCUAGAUCGCGGCACAUUACAUUCACAGAAAACGUGGUGCAAACAUGGUAGUUGUAAUUCCGUUUCAAAAAGCAUGGUAGUAGUAGUAAUAGAUCAGUUAAGGUGUGUUGUCGAUGGUGAUUUACAUGGUCGGGGCUAAGGUUAGGAUGACGACAUCAACUACGUAUGUUACACGUACGUAAUUCAUUCCCGGGCCGGUGACAAGGAUGUGCAACAAAUUGGACAAGUCGUCAAGUAUUUUCUUUGGCCUUUUGUGGUUACUUCUAGCAAGCUGCUACCACGCCGACGCUGUCCCGAAAGGUCCAAAAAUAACAAUUGGACAGGAUUACCGCUAGCACACCACGUGUUCAUCCUGACUUGUGAGGCGGCUUAAGCUACUUUUGUCAACAAAGUGUGCCACGUUUGCCGAAAGCUGGGAAGAUUUCAUCGCCUUUUUAUAGGAGAUCUUUUAUGGUACCCCGUAAUAAAAUUAGUCCGUCCAUUCGGGGAAAUCCAACGCUAGAGAUUGAUUUGUAUUGCUUCAACGGGCCAGCAGUAUAUGCACUCCAACCCGAGCAAAGUGGAGCAAUAUACGGAGAUUGAGGGCAGUUUGGGAACAUCGUAAUAUUUCAGCCCGUCCACCCGCUGACCUGACCCACGCCUACGCCGCGACGAUUCCGGCCGCUGCCGCCGCACGCCCGAUUUAUCUCCCUCUGCGAGCCCCCUCCUCUUCCUCACGAAGAAGAGCGACUCCCGCAGCUUGGCCCCUUGGCUAAUCGCGAUUUAAUGCUGAAAGCAUUGAUUUUUGUCUUAUCAGAUUCAGAAACUUGAAGUUUGAUCUGCGUGCCUACCCCCAUACAACGUUCUGGAAAUGGUGCUUUAGUUCGUGAAUUUUGAAAGUGUGUGUGGCUCGUUCAGUUUCUACCUUCUACAAUGCAAUCACACAGUCGGGGCACAGACGAUGUGACGCGGAAGCAAGCUCACGGCCAUGAGACACGGCUACCGGAAGGGCAACAACGGAGCACGGCUGGAGGUAGAUGGACGGGGCAAACAAGGGCCGAUUCCCCCGGCGGCGGCAAUGCCUAUUUCCUGGAGUGACUUGGGGAGGGACGAGCGUAACGGCAAGAUGCGGGAUAUGGGGCGAAGUAUUAGCCCAUCAGCCAUCUAUGAACGAACACAUUUUUUACCGUGAAAACUAAAAAAGUCUAUAUUACCCAUAUGAAAUCAACGGUGAGAUUAGAAAUAUACUGUUGCCUCAGUAUAGGGUACCGUAAAAAAGCUCUUAACAAAUGACCUUGUUGUUAAUGACGCCCGGUAAGUUGAGCAGCAGUCUGAAGAUUAACCUCAGCUUCGGUUGUCCUAUGGAACCUGUUAGCUCGUUAUCUAGCCGAAAGAGGGUCGGGCAAUCCGACAACGUGUAACUGAAGUUGCGAAAUGCAGUGCAUGGUUCCGUUUCCAGUUCACGAGCUACGUCGCAAACUGCGAUCAGGGAAAAAUGAACAACAGAUGCAGCAAUGGCAUGCACCAUAAGAGAAAAAGAACGGGACGGAAAGCUUCAAGAUUCCAAACAAAACGAGAAGGAGACCAAACAAGACUGCCAUCACGGUAAGGAUGAGGAAGAACAAGUCUGAGUUUUCAAAGGCUGCAUAGGUUUCAGUGGUACCUGAUAUGGAAAUGCAAUGCGGCCGAGAAGCCUAAUCUUCUUCAGAUGAAAUCCGGCCUGCCUGCCUGCCCUGCCUCCCAGAAGACGAGAAGAUCUUGGCUGACCUCCCAGAAGACGAAAUGCUAGGCUCCAAAACCCAGCGAGCAAGCAGGUCGAGGGCCCUUAAAAGCGGCUGUUAUUUGCGAGUUAAGCUUCGUCAGGCCCCCACACAGCUAGCUCCCUUCCCUCUGCAAGACCGCACACAAUACAUACAUACCUUUCCCUCCUCCUCUCCCCUUUGCUUCUAAGGAGGAUCUGCUAAUCUUUUUUUAUGAUGCGCUUUUUAAUCGGUCGGUCAUGGCCUCGGCCUCAUGGGGCACACUGCCGUGCCUCCUUUAGUUUACAGAUUGGAACAGUGGAUCGGCUUUCCCCAAAGACACAUCACAUAUCUUCUCCCCUCUCCUUCAUCAGCACUGAUUAAUCAUUGGUUAUGUCGUUAGCCUGCGUCUGUGAGUGAAUGUAUCACGUUGGCAUUUUGGCCAUGUGCCGAUGCAUGUGCACUAUAUGGCAUAUGGGUGCAAAGGCGACUGGUAUCUGACCGCACAGACACGGUAUAAAGCGGCGGAAUCUUAGUAGAGCUGGACGCCUUUGUACUGGCCGGCUGGCUAUCUAGCUGGUGAAGAAGGUUCGUCCUCGUAGUGGUAGUAGAUCGCUGUACUACAUGGAGAGAGACUGGAAACGUGCUCCACUGCGUGCUAUCAAUUCACGGCGGCGUCACUGUUCGGUGGCUAUUAACUAACCACGGCAGUGUUACUGCUGAGUGGCUUUUAGUUGAGCAUAGAGGAGCAGUGGAUACCAAAAGAAAGAAGCCAAAUGUAGCUCCAGGACCAUGCACUACCGCAUUAAUUAGCACUUGGCGUUUACACAUCUCAUGAAGUACUACUGCUAGCUAGCGAGUAGUCUAGUGGUUAAGUAUAGCAGUAGCCUCAAAGUAAAGUUUGAUGUACUCUUACGUACUGUACUAGCCAGUUGCUGCUUACCACACUCAAAAUGGUAGUGCAAUUUGCACUGUGUAAGUACCUGAGUUCACAGAGAAAAUCAGGAAGGAACAUGUAAGUCUCAUGUAGGAGCACCAGCACUGAUGAGCGAGCGGUUAGAGAACCAAGGCACAAAUUAAGAGCUCACAGGUUCGUUGUUAACCCGCUACAGAAAAGAAAAGAAAAAAGAGCUCACAGGUUUGCAUUACCAAAGCAUCGAGGGAAAGCAGAGGGAAGGCAUGAGUAUCUCUCAAGAGCACAUGACUUAGCACUGACUACUGCCAAAAGAAUAGGAGCUCAACUGGGCUAAACCCCGGGGCAUGGCAGGCAUUAUUGUCUAUCAUGCCUAUGCCUUUGCACCAACGCAGCGUCACUGGGACGAUUGCUCCCCAGCUUUCAGAUAAGGAGCGAGCGAGCAUCUCACGGCGUGCAAUGCAGACAGCUCGGCAAGCGUGCGCCAAGAGCUCGUCUCGACCGCCUAAUCUUCCGCUUACGCCUCCGUUUACAAUUUCGAAUGGUCCCAAAAAUCGUCUGAAUUGAGCCAAAAUUGUCUUUAUCAUUCUUGUUCUCAGUGGCCGGCUGUCCUUGCUUGCGCUUGUCAUGUUCCAUGCUUGGUACGUACAGAGGAUCUGGGCAUAGAAUGGUGCAUUUGGAUGUAACAUCAGAGUGAGGUUUCAGUUUCACAAGCUUGGAAUUCGGUGCUGCAGUCUGUUCUGAUCGGUUGAUUCAGUUCCUGGAAAGAGAGUCUCCGUUCUUUAGGCUUCGGCAUAGCUUUGCUUGGAUCGGGGAAUGAAACACUCGGAGGAUGCUAAGAUGCAGUUGCUUCAAAUAAGGCUCAGGGAAAAAAGCAGCAUUUUGGCUUGUUUUAGAAUCUAUUCUCGCUUGAGGCUUGAGAAUUUGUCAAACUGGGAUCCCACUUUCCUCUUUUAAAGCUCUCAUGAACAGAUGGAGCAAUGCAAACCCUUGCCUUCCAUGAGACAGAUGCUUCUUGUUGGACCAAGAAAACAAAAUAAGCACAUCCUUGUCGCUCUGUAAUAAGCUUACUAGAAAUAUAUUUCCUACUAUUAGUUUCGAGCGUAAGAUAUACACCAUGGAUAUCAUCCACAUAUGCAGCAAGACGACGUUACUGACAUUGGAAUCAUCAGUCAGCAAGGAUAUGGAUGGGCACAUAAGUAUGAUACAAAAAAUAAGAAAAAGGAAAGGAAACAUAACGGUUUCGAAAAUAAACGUGAUUUGACUUCAGUCGCAGCACAAUGCCAUUUAUUUAGAAGAAUGAUUCAAAGAAAUGCUGUGUCAUCAGAGGACAAAAGGGGAUAGGCGCAUGAGUGUUUCCCAAAGGUAAAUUCAGAUAUACGCCCCUCUGAAAUGUCCGUUUCCGAUUGCGAUAAUUGUACCGCUGCGAACCCAUGGUUUGGAAAAAUGUCACCGCAAACUCAACAGCUUCUGAACAACCUCUUGUCACUGUAUCCAUAGGGCCGCGAAUACUGUUGAAUGAAACAACACCAUCGGUUCUCGCUCCAAGUCGCACAAUGCGUCACCAUUAGCAGCUAAGGUGUCAGCAAAGGGCGUUUUUUGUGAUUGCUGAGUCUUAACACCGGUGCUCAACCACAAUUAUUGUCCAUCACAAAGCUUGUCAGCUAGGCUGUUUGCAGUAAUAGGCCUAUCACUGAAAGUAGGUGUCACCUAAUGGGCAUAAUUUGGUCACUCAAGCCCCAAAGUGACAUAGUUGAAGGCUGCCAGUGGAGAGGUAAUUGAAGCUCACUGCCUAUAGUGGAUAAAAAAAGAGGAUGCAUGCAUGAGUAGUUUCUCAUACAAAGGUCCAUAGUGGUGGAUACAAUGUGCAUGUGGACUUUAUUAACUAGAACUCUGAGAUGUGAUUAUACCUUGAAGCAGAAGGAAGAUGCAUGUCAUGACUCAUGAAGUCAUGAUAGUAAUCAAGGUUGUUGCUAGUGUUGCUUGGUGAUUAGGUCUCAUGUCACCCUAGCUUAUCCAAGUUGCUGAUGACAUAUCGAUUCUUUUCUCCGCGUGUGAAUCGACAUUGGUAGUAUUUUUUAAAUAAGAUUAUGAACAGGCUGUGCCCUGGCAGGUAAUGUGCAUGUUUGGUUCUGCUUGCUUUUGAUCUAGAGCACGCAUUCUUAAUAUAACAGAACAUGCCUUUGGUAACCAAGUUCAUUCCAAGAAGAUGUUUGUGGUCAAAUUUACUUUUGACAAAUAUUUGUUCCGGAAGACAAAACAGUGACAUGUAUCAUAUAAUAGAUCAUAUGAUAUUAUGACAUCUCUUUGUGUCAGUGGGACAGAUGAACAAAGCUUGAAAGGAAGAGACCGGUAUAAGGGGAACCAUCAGUCAAUCACCAUUAGUUUGUUCUGCUUGUCUGAACUUAAGUUGAAAGCAAUCCCGGAAAUCCCAACAACCAGCUCUACAAAAUUGAUACAUUACAUCAAUAGAUAAGCUAAUAUUAUAUGUCAGCAUUAUAUCAUAUAUUUUACUAAAGAAGAACCAUGCUAUAUUCCUUCUUCUCCGAUGUCGGCAAAAUGAUAUUGUCUGGUUUUGAAAGUGUUUUGGCAGGUGUAAAUUUGAUUUGACAAACUAAGUUUUGUUGCCUUUUUUUGCAGCUGCAUACCCACAUCAACUAAAUUGCAGCUUAAUUCUACUAUCAUCAAGUCAAAUAUGCUAUACAAUUGAACACACGCUUGCAGGAAGUUGCGAAGACAGUACAGAUAGGUAGCAUCCUUCGUUUGCUGAUUAACACAUGAUCCUUAGUUUCUAAGGCAAAUCAAGAAUAAAGAAAUCAGCAUGUGCGCAAUAGGGUGUCACAGGAUACACAAAAGGGUAUGGUAUUGGUAGGUGAAUGUGCAAAAUGUAAUCAGGACAUGUUUGUAUACUCGCCUAUUAUAUUCAGAAAGCG
rnacentral:lncRNA from 1 species